GCGUCGGUGGUGCAAGGGAAAGAGCACGCGCCCUUGGAUAGGGUGAAAUAUGGGUUCGAAUCCCAACUAACGCC